GUUGCACCACGAGAGGUGGGGACGUCAGGCGGGACCGCCGGUGACAAACCGGAGGAAGUGGGGACGGACGUCAAGUCAUCAUGGCCCUUAUGUCCUGGGCUACACACGUGCUACAAUGGCCGGUACAGAGCGCAGCGAGGCCGCGAGGCGGAGCGAAUCGCUUAAAGCCGGUCCCAGUACGGAUUGGAGUCUGCAACCCGACUCCAUGAAGUUGGAAUCGCUAGUAAUCGCGCAUCAGCAUGGCGCGGUGAAUACGUUCCCGGGCCUU
rnacentral:rRNA from 1 species